UACGGAGGGUGCGAGCGUUAUCCGGAAUCACUGGGUUUAAAGGGUGCGUAGGCGGUCUGAUAAGUCAGUUGUGAAAUUCCUCGGCUUAACCGAGUGGACUGCGAUUGAUACUGUGAGACUUGAAUCAGGUUGAGGUAGGCGGAAUGUGACAUGUAGCGGUGAAAUGCUUAGAUAUGUCAUAGAACACCGAUUGCGAAGGCAGCUUGCUAGACCUGGAUUGACGCUGAGGCACGAAAGCGUGGGGAGCAAACAGG
rnacentral:rRNA from 1 species